rnacentral:lncRNA from 1 species
CAAGGGAACAUUUCCUCUGAAGCUAAGUCAGUAAAUGUCCAUGAAAAUUGACAGCAGCACUGUCAUCAAUUACGGUGAACCAAGCUUGCACAGGAUCAGAAGCAGAAAUAGAUUAACUUUUGGAUCAGCCUGCUUGGAGGAAGAUACCACUGCAACUCCUUGGACUUACAAAUCUGCAAAUAGAAAGUGGGUUUUGUAGUAACUGUGUCAAUAGAUCAAAGCGUCUGUUUGUGAUAGACCCAACAACUGCUAGAGCAUACUGAGAAA